rnacentral:rRNA from 1 species
UGGGGAAUAUUGGACAAUGGGCGAAAGCCUGAUCCAGCCAUGCCGCGUGUGUGAAGAAGGUCUUCGGAUUGUAAAGCACUUUAAGUUGGGAGGAAGGGCAGUAAGCGAAUACCUUGCUGUUUUGACGUUACCGACAGAAUAAGCACCGGCUAACUCUGUGCCAGCAGCCGCGGUAAUACAGAGGGUGCAAGCGUUAAUCGGAAUUACUGGGCGUAAAGCGUGCGUAGGCGGCUAAUUGAGUCGGAUGUGAAAUCCCCGAGCUUAACUUGGGAAUUGCAUUCGAUACUGGUUAGCUAGAGUGUGGGAGAGGAUGGUAGAAUUCCAGGUGUAGCCGUGAAAUGCGUAGAGAUCUGGAGGAAUACCGAUGGCGAAGGCAGCCAUCUGGCCUAACACUGACGCUGAGGUACGAAAGCAUGGGGAGCAAACAGG